rnacentral:misc_RNA from 1 species
GUAGGAACAAGUCCUUGAUUCUUUCAAUGCACUUGCUGAAGCCUUUGCGGGGUCUUUUUCGAAAAGAUCGAUCAGCCGCGACUAUAAAGAAAAGGUGGUCUCUAGUUGCCCUGCUCAUGGGUUGCUAGACGUUAGUUGGCUAUGGCUAGCGACACCGUUGGACUGUGGCGAUCCUCCUGCUGGAGCAAUCCGUAGCUUGCAUUCAACGAUGCAAGUCCACAGACUAAGUGACGGUGGGCAUGAGAGUUUU